rnacentral:rRNA from 1 species
AGCCGAGGGGGGUCUAUACAUGCAGUCGACGCGCAGCGAGAGGUGCUUGCACCUUUCAAGCGAGUGGCGAACGGGUGAGUAACACGUGGAUAACCUGCCUCAAGGCUGGGGAUAACAUUUGGAAACAGAUGCUAAUACCGAAUAAAACUUAGUAUCGCAUGAUAUAAAGUUAAAAGGCGCUACGGCGUCACCUAGAGAUGGAUCCGCGGUGCAUUAGUUAGUUGGUGGGGUAAAGGCUUACCAAGACAAUGAUGCAUAGCCGAGUUGAGAGACUGAUCGGCCACAUUGGGACUGAGACACGGCCCAAACUCCUACGGGAGGCUGCAGUAGGGAAUCUUCCACAAUGGGCGCAAGCCUGAUGGAGCAACGCCGCGUGUGUGAUGAAGGCUUUCGGGUCGUAAAGCACUGUUGUAUGGGAAGAAAUGCUAAAAUAGGGAAUGAUUUUAGUUUGACGGUACCAUACCAGAAAGGGACGGCUAAAUACGUGCCAGCAGCCGCGGUAAUACGUAUGUCCCGAGCGUUAUCCGGAUUUAUUGGGCGUAAAGCGAGCGCAGACGGUUGAUUAAGUCUGAUGUGAAAGCCCGGAGCUCAACUCCGGAAUGGCAUUGGAAACUGGUUAACUUGAGUGUUGUAGAGGUAAGUGGAACUCCAUGUGUAGCGGUGGAAUGCGUAGAUAUAUGGAAGAACACCAGUGGCGAAGGCGGCUUACUGGACAACAACUGACGUUGAGGCUCGAAAGUGUGGGUAGCAAACAGGAUUAGAUACCCUGGUAGUCCACACCGUAAACGAUGAAUACUAGGUGUUAGGAGGUUUCCGCCUCUUAGUGCCGAAGCUAACGCAUUAAGUAUUCCGCCUGGGGAGUACGACCGCAAGGUUGAAACUCAAAGGAAUUGACGGGGACCCGCACAAGCGGUGGAGCAUGUGGUUUAAUUCGAAGCAACGCGAAGAACCUUACCAGGUCUUGACAUCCUUUGAAGCUUUUAGAGAUAGAAGUGUUCUCUUCGGAGA